GACAGGGUUUUAGUCACUUUCUCUGCACCACCAGUACCAACACCUCUGUGCUUACCGGGCAGAACUAAUCCCCAGAAUUAGAAAUGGAUGAACACAGCUGGGCAGGAGAAGCACCCAGGACUUUUGAAGGAAGAACACUGUGAAAGGUUGUGAGGCCGCAGGCUCCCUACCUGCCCUGUGGAAAGGAUAAUAAUCAAAAGCCAUCCUCCUGAAGGUCAGCUGGAUGGCACCGCCCAGCAUCCCAUGCUUCAGAGCACCUGUGAGGAACAGAGCAGAGGAAACCAUGGUCAGCUCUGCAAUCCAAGCCCUGACCCAGGAGAAUCCAGAACCACCUUGCUCUGACUACCACCACAGCCAGGAUUAGGGUCCCAUCUUUAGGAAUCUGCACCAAAACCUUGUCCUAGGCCAGGAGAAGGACACCUGAAUCAACAGUUUAUAUGCUAAAAAUCAGGCUGCCAGGCUUUCAGCUCCCAGUAAGGAGAUGACAGCUCUCCUCAGGAUGUUCAAACAGAUUGAAAAACUCACUCCAUCCACGAGAUCCUCCCCUGGGAAAGAAACUGCUUUGACAUUUGGUAAGAACACAGCCGUCUCUCACAGAAAACAUGGAGAGAUACAAGAGUUUGGGCUCAACAUUUCUAUAGGGAGAGAAGGGCUGUUGAGGACUGUGGGAGGAAAUAUUCAUCAUCUCUGCACCAGGCAGUGAGACCACAUCCUGCAAAGCAUGGA